ACCAAGAGACCGGCGCACGGGUGCGUAACGCGUAUGCAAUCUACCUUUUGCAGAGGGAUAGCCCAGAGAAAAUUUGGAUUAAUACCUCAUAGUAUAGUACUUUGGCAUCAAGGAACUAUUAAAGUCACAACGGCAAAAGAUGAGCAUGCGUCCCAUUAGCUAGUUGGUAAGGUAACGGCUUACCAAGGCUACGAUGGGUAGGGGUCCUGAGAGGGAGAUCCCCCCACACUGGUACUGAGACACGGACCAGACUCCUACGGGAGGCAGCAGUGAGGAAUAUUGGACAAUGGGCGCAAGCCUGAUCCAGCCAUGCCGCGUGCAGGAUGACGGUCCUAUGGAUUGUAAACUGCUUUUAUACAGGAAGAAACACUCCGACGUGUCGGAGCUUGACGGUACUGUAAGAAUAAGGAUCGGCUAACUACGUG
rnacentral:rRNA from 1 species